rnacentral:lncRNA from 1 species
CAUCAUUACAUGUUUGUAGAGAUAAACUAAUGACUGAAGCACCAGCACUCAAUUUCUUCUGGCUACCAUCAAUUGGUUGAUCUUCCCAGAGACAGAAGCAUGCCGGAUCCUUCUCGAGGUGUAGUAGCCCAAGCUUAAGAGCAGGUGACUCAGAAAGGACGAAGUCUUCAAUAUGAAGUCUUUUGCUUACCAUCCGAUGUAACCCAAACAUUAAAACAAACUAAGAGGUAUUGGAACCUCUGAAGCUAUAAAGAUAGGUGCAAAACUAUGAAAUAAUUACUGCCAUGUUUCUUGUCUAAGCAUUGUUUUACAGCUAUUGUCAAAAAUCUCAACAUGCAAUAACUGCUCAAAACAAUAGCUACCCUGCAAGAUAUAAAGUACCUUAUAACACGAGUCAAGUUUUAUCAAUUUCUACAGAGGCAAUUAUAUAACACAAUGAGAAUAAAGUGCUUACAGUAAUCAACUCGAGGGGAUAUCUUUUCUUGCCAGACAAUUUUGUGCUGCCAUCUGUUACGUGCUUAGAGCUGCUUGCUUUGACACAAAUGUUGUGGAAAGUUGUGUGCCAACACCUCUCUUCUCUGAUGGAAUCUUCAUGAUCACAGAACCACCACUUUUCUGCUGCUUCUUGUGCACCUUCCAGAGCAAAUAACCAAUCUUUGAAUUCGAUGGAUAUAUCCACAUCAUCAGGUGUUUCCAAUUGUAAUCUUCCAGUGUCCUUUCCAUCUGGAAAGAAGAAAAGUAUGAGGAAAUGAGAUGAGUCCACAUCAUCAGGUGUUUCCAACUGUAAUCUUCCAGUGUCCUUUCCAUCUGGAAAGAAGAAAAGUAUGAGGAAAUGAGAUGACCAUCGAACAAAAAGAUCACAAGCAAAGUUAAUCACUGAACACAUAGACGACAAAGAAAAUGAAUACUCAUCCAUCCCGAAUUGCCUGUGCCUAAUUUGUAAGUGGUUCAAAAACAGUUUAACACAUUCACAAUAAAACAGAAUUUUGGACCACCUAUGCUCUUUUACAUAUCAUUUUUUCCUCUAAUUUAUUCUUGUUAAGCAUAAAAUUCAAACUAUCGUUCCACAUGUUUCCUCGCAAGUACUGAAAAGCUCAUAGUUUCAACUCUUCUCUUAAUGAUCAUGCCAAAUCAAAAGUGCACAAGUGAAUUCGUAUGGCAGGAGUAUAUAACAUCAUAAGUUGAAGAGUCUAACCGUCUUCAAGCUCAUUGAUGGUAGGAGGUGUUGCUUUCAAAAGUUUAGACAAAGGCCCAGCAGACAAAUGCUCCAAACCUUUAGUAAGCCCUUCCCCAGGACCACCAUCUGGCCCAAGAAUUCCAAACCUGUGAAGUAAGGCUUCUGUGUAAUUCAUUCCUCCCCCAAGGCGGACACCAGCAAUACAAGCUGAAACAUUUAGACUGUGACACUCCAUGUCAUGUGUUUUAUAUGGAAUCACCUGUACCAUUUUUAUGUCCAAGAAGGGAACUAAAACAAAGUUGCCAUUUGAUUGAUUGAUCUUCCUGUUUUGCACCCCUGUGUAUUAUAUGGAAUCACCUGUACCAUUUUUAUGUCCAAGAAGGGAACUAAAACAAAGUUGCCAUUUGAUUGAUUGAUCUUCCUGUUUUGCACCCAAAGGACAGAUCUAAGUUGACGUUCAUUCCCCAUCAAUUGGCCAUUUUGGUUUGAAGUCCACGCCAAGCCGUUCUCACAUGGCAAGCUACUCAGAGUGUCUGCACAAUCAACUUCAACACUUUCCCAAAGCAAACUUGAUGAAAUGGCUAUAGCACCACCAUGGGUUAUAUGAGUAACUUUGACGGACAGCUCAUUGCCUAUAAAUUGAACCAAAGGCAUUCCUGAAAUGUCAGUGGAAGAAGACUCCAAAAAUCUAAGACGCAGAUCAUUCACUGCUAAACUUACAGCAGUAUCACCGGGAACUUUUUCACCUAAUGAUCCACCUGAAGAUUUUUGACUUACUUCCUCGUGCGAAUUGAUCCUCCCAACUACUGCCAUUUUUUCGCUUAUCCUCCCAAAAUAUGUGUAAAAAUCUAGAACAAAAAAUAAUUGCUCAACCGAAGUGUUGGAGAAGUACUGCUGACAGGCAACUCCCACUCUGACAAUUCCUCCAGGGGGUGGGACAUUUGUUAAAGGGCUUCCAUCUGCUGUAGCCAUAGCUAUUUCAAGGCAAGCACCUUUCAGCUCAACACAUCUCCAUAAAUUUGAAGAUAAUAUAAGAGAUUGGAGUCCAGUUGCAUCAUUACAUGUUUGUAGAGAUAAACUAAUGACUGAAGCACCAGCACUCAAUUUCUUCUGGCUACCAUCAAUUGGUUGAUCUUCCCAGAGACAGAAGCAUGCCGGAUCCUUCUCGAGGUGUAGUAGCCCAAGCUUAAGAGCAGGUGACUCAGAAAGGACGAAGUCUUCAAUAUGAAGUCUUGCCCCACCAAACAAACUCUGACAAGUGUUAUUUUCACCUGAAACAGUAUGAUUUGGCGUUC